CAUCGAGAUCGAAGAAGAACUAGAGGAAAAUGACGAAGAUGUAGAUGAUCCAGCUGCAGCCGAAGCCGCGGGAAAUUAUCUACAAGAAGGAAGAGCAAUUAGAAAUAGGAUAAUUAGAAAUUAUUUUUAAUUCACAUUAAUUAGGUACGUAUUUGCUACGAUUAAAUAAAACUACGGUUUUUUGUUCACAUUUGUUUACCUACACUGUACUCUUAUCAAGUGUUAAACAGCGAUUAUAUAUUUUAAAAAAAAUAUAUAAAAAAUUUUAAAGCAAACCUCAUGUGAUGAAGAUUAUAUUACACUUGCCCCGUCAAUUUAUACAUAUGCGUAAAUGAGUCUAAUAAGCCGUGGUUGCACUUUCCCACUUUGGCUGGGGCCAAAAUAAAAAAAAUUAUAACAUACUUCUGUUUUGUGUUGUAAAGGAAAUAUGAGCCAAGUCAGUUAAACAACCUUACAAGGAAUCAAUAUUAACUAAAAAUCAUUUUUUUAAUCUUAAAACUGCACAUGUUAUACUUAAUUGAAGUUGAACUAUUAAAAAACAUGGUCGCACUUACCCCACUUUACCUUAACUAAUAACAUUGUCAGAUUCUAUCAUUUCAAGAAUUUCGUCAACAAGUCUUCACAAAUUUCUACUUACUCAGAUCUACUCUGCAAGAACAUACUGCCAUGCUAAAUGCACUUAUGUCAAAACAUGUCGAGUUUGGGGCUGAGGUAGAAGCAGUUGACGAAGAUAUUAUAUGGCGUUACUUCUCGUGCAAACUGAAGAAAACUUACCUACACAAAUUGGAAGAGUAAGUACCUACUUGAAAUCCAAGGAGCACUUCAUGUCAUUUGUAAGUUACCGUAAAACGAGGUGGCUUUGUGACACCCGGGUAGACAAAAGUUGUAUUUACAUAGUGGGACGUGGUAUAUAAAGUAGGUAGUAAGUUGGGUAAAUAGAUGCCCUAAUUGAAGAAUGCCCCAUAUGUAAACAAAACAAAAGCAGUAAAAAGUGCCACGUGAUCAUGGAAUUGCACAGUGUACACGUGUGGCUGGGGUAAGUAUACAUCAGUAAGUAAAUUGUUUUAUAUUUUUAGAUGGGUGUAUUUGAAAAUUUACCUCUUCAGGCGUAAGAGCGAUUGGCCUUUUCUUCAAAUACAAUAAUUUUUAUUGUUUUUGUAACCAGUAGGUACCCACCUACCAAUGUGUAGUUUUCAAGAAUACAGUAUAAAUAGGUUUCCAAUUACUGGGAUCAAUUCAAUUGUAAGCUGUAUCUAUUAAUUGCUGUUGUUAAUUGCACGAUUAAAUCAUUCAUUGUAGCUACUUUAUGUAUAAUAAACUAACACCUCUUUUUCCAGUA